rnacentral:rRNA from 1 species
GUGUCAGCCGCCGCGGUAACACGAACCGGACGAACGUUAUUCGGAAUCACUGGGCUUAAAGAGUCCGUAGGCGGCUUGGUAGGUGACGUGUGAAAUCCCACGGCUCAACCGUGGAACUGCGCGUCAAACCAUCAGGCUAGAGGGAGAUAGAGGAAAGCGGAACUGAUGGUGGAGCGGUGAAAUGCGUUGAUAUCAUCAGGAACACCGGUGGCGAAAGCGGCCUUCUGGGUCUCUUCUGACGCUGAGGGACGAAAGCUAGGGGAGCGAACGGGAUUAGAUACCCUCGUAGUCC